rnacentral:rRNA from 1 species
GACGAACGCUGGCGGCGUGCCUAAUACAUGCAAGUCGAACGCUGAAGAGAGGAGCUUACUCUUCUUGGGUGAGUUGCGAACGGGUGAGUAACGCGUAGGUAACCUUCCUUGUAGCGGGGGAUAACGAUUGGAGACGAUAGCUAAUACCGCAUAACAAUGGAUGACACAUGUCAUUUAUUUGAAAGGGGCAAUUGCUCCACUACAAGAUGGACCUGCGUUGUAUUAGCUAGUAGGUGAGGUAAUGGCUCACCUAGGCGACGAUACAUAGCCGAACGGAGAGGGUGAUCGGCCACACUGAGAGUGAGACACGGCACAGACGCCUACGGGAGGCAGCAGUAGGGAAUCUUGGGCAAUGGGGGCAACACUGAGCGAGAAACGCCGCGUGAGUGAAGAAGGUUGUCGGGUCGGAAAGCUCGGUUGUCGGUGAAGAACGGGUGUGCGAGUGGAAAGUUCACACUGUGACGGUAGCUGAACAGAAAGGGACGGCUAACUACGUG